UUCGGUGGCGAUACCGGAGGGGUCACACCCGUUCCCAUCUCGAACACGGAAGUUAAGCCCUCUAGGGCCGAUGAUACUGCACUCGCGAGGGUGUGGGAAAGUAGGACGCUGCCGGAU
rnacentral:rRNA from 1 species